rnacentral:rRNA from 1 species
UCGCCUGUUUUUCAAAAACAUCUUUAAUUAAAAAAAUUAAUAUUGCCUGCCCAGUGUUAACCUAUCAACGGCCGCAGUAUUUUAACUGUGCAAAGGUAGCAUAAUCCUUUGUUUCUUGAUUGGAAACUAGAAUGAAUGGCGUGACGAAAGGUUAACUUUUUUUAUAUUACUUACAAUUUACUUUUAGAGUAAAAAAGCUUUAAAUAUUCAGAAAGACGACAAGACCCUGUAAAACUUUACUUUUUUAUGAAAUUUUUUAAAAUUGUUUCUUUCAUUUUUGAUCAAGUUUAGUUGGGGAGACUUUUAUUAUUAUAAACAAAAAUUAAUAUAACAUCUUGAAUGAUAUUUACAAACGUUUCUACUUCAGAACAAGUUACUUCAGGGAUAACAGCACUAUUUCUCUUUAGAGCUCUCAUCGUCAGAGAAACAUGUGACCUCGAUGUUGAAUUGAAGAUUCUAGAUUAAGCAGAAUUAACCUAAGAAAGUCUGUUCGACUUAUAACUCUUCACAUGAUCUGAGUUCCAAACCGGA